rnacentral:rRNA from 1 species
CCUACGGGGGGCUGCAGUGGGGAAUAUUGGACAAUGGGGGGAACCCUGAUCCAGCCAUGCCGCGUGUGUGAAGAAGGCCCUCGGGUUGUAAAGCACUUUCAGUGAGGAAGAACGCCUGGUGGUUAAUACCCAUCAGGGAAGACAUCACUCACAGAAGAAGCACCGGCUAACUCCGUGCCAGCAGCCGCGGUAAUACGGAGGGUGCGAGCGUUAAUCGGAAUUACUGGGCGUAAAGCGCGCGUAGGUGGCUUGAUAAGCCGGUUGUGAAAGCCCCGGGCUCAACCUGGGAACGGCAUCCGGAACUGUCAAGCUAGAGUGCAGGAGAGGAAGGUAGAAUUCCCGGUGUAGCGGUGAAAUGCGUAGAGAUCGGGAGGAAUACCAGUGGCGAAGGCGGCCUUCUGGACUGACACUGACACUGAGGUGCGAAAGCGUGGGUAGCAAACAGGAUUAGAUACCCUGGUAGUC